GCUCAACCGAAGAAGUGCAUCGGAAACUGGGAAACUUGAGUGCAGAAGAGGACAGUGGAACUCCAUGUGUAGCGGUGAAAUGCGUAGAUAUAUGGAAGAACACCAGUGGCGAAGGCGGCUGUCUGGUCUGUAACUGACGCUGAGGCUCGAAAGUAUGGGUAGCAAACAGGAUUAGAUACCCUGGUAGUCCAUACCGUAAACGAUGAAUGCUAAGUGUUGGAGGGUUUCCGCCCUUCAGUGCUGCAGCUAACGCAUUAAGCAUUCCGCCUGGGGAGUACGGCCGCAAGGCUGAAACUCAAAGGAAUUGACGGGGGCCCGCACAAGCGGUGGAGCAUGUGGUUUAAUUCGAAGCUACGCGAAGAACCUUACCAGGUCUUGACAUACUAUGCAAAUCUAAGAGAUUAGACGUUCCCUUUGGGGACAUGGAUACAGGUGGUGCAUGGUUGUCGUCAGCUCGUGUCGUGAGAUGUUGGGUUAAGUCCCGCAACGAGCGCAACCCUUAUUAUCAGUUGCCAGCAUUAAGUUGGGCACUCUGGUGAGACUGCCGGUGACAAACCGGAGGAAGGUGGGGAUGACGUCAAAUCAUCAUGCCCCUUAUGACCUGGGCUACACACGUGCUACAAUGGAUGGUACAACG
rnacentral:rRNA from 1 species